rnacentral:siRNA from 1 species
AACCAAUGGGUUGCCUCCCA